CUUAAUAAAUAUAUAGCAAUGAUUGUAUUAAUUAAUAUACUGUUAAUAUUAAAUACAGUGGAAUCUUUAAAUUUAAUGUACGAAGGAGUAUGUGAAGAUAGGUAAAGUAUGAAAUAAAUUAUUUGUAUUUUUACAAAGUUGUAUACGUUACGUUCUUUCAAAAGUAAUUUUGGUUAACAUUUGAUAGUCUAAAAUAUUCAGUAAUUUGAUAAAAAUACAAGUUUGGUAUGAGGAUUUAUGAUGUAUAUUCACUGAAAUGACGAUUGAAAAUGUUUGAUCGAACUGUAUGUGUGAGAGAGAGAGAGAGAGAGAGAGAGAGAGAGAGAGAGUUAGAGAGAGAGAGAGAGAGAGAGAGAGUUCUAUUGAAGAUUUGCAUUCAGUGCAAUUAUACAAAACGUUUGAACUUUGUAUAUUGAUGGGGAAACAUUGACUUCAUUUAUAAACAUUUCCUAUCGAUUUCAAAAGUUCCAGAAUAACCUUCGGGUUAAAUGCAACAAUAGAACCUAAACCUACAAAUCUAUCACUCGAUUGUGACACUACUGCAUGAAACGUGUUAAUGUCGGGUGCCUGUCUUAAAGUUGUUACUGAAUACGGGUUCCGAACAAUGGAAGCACCAAUAUGAAUAAAAUUUUAACUUAAAGUAAAGUGUGUCUAAUUUUCUUUAUCUUGUCUGACGCCUAAAGAAGGAUAUGAGAUGAAUACAAUCAAAUAUUCAAUGAUGAAGAGUUCACAUAACAAAACUAUCUAGGUUAUUCCCUUAAUCAAUGGUCAAAACCCCAAAAGGCUGUCUUUCGGCAGUAUGUAUAAAAAGUAAUGGUCUAGGAGUAACAACAUCGGUCGUUGAUUAUCAUUUUUGAAUCCACUUCUCCCUAUACAUUCUAUACUUAUUUAUCAAAUAUGUUUUUAGUUUAAUAUAUUCCGAUAAUUCAUGUGUAAUCAUAGUAGAAUAUUCUUAAGUAUAUAAAGAUAUAAUAAUAAAAUAUAAUUAUUGCUUUAAAAAAGAUUGUAGGCGGUCUUUCCCUUUAAAUUAAUUGAUUUGGGGGGGGGGUUUGUUUUGUUGUUUUUGUUUUGUUGGGGUUAAUUUGUUACGGAGAGUUUCAUGUUAGUUUGGAAGUUUUUCUUUAUUUGGUAAGCGCGCGCGCACUCACGUGACACGGGUAUAUACGAAAGUGUCUUUUUAUUUAUUUUUAGGUGGGACUUUGACAAAAAUGUAUGAGCGAUAACCAAUGUAAUUUUUGUCAUUGUAGGAAAUUGACAUUUGGCAAAGUUCAGGGCAGUGAUGUUUUGGUUUAUUGAUCGGUGUAACUUUAAAACAUUUAUUGAUUAUUCUGUAUUGUAAUUUUCAGCACUGUUUGUAAACAAUUAGUAUUUAAUUCGGAGCGGACAUUUUAUUGUAGGUUUUUACUGAGAUUUACGGACCUAGCAAGCGAUUUUUACGGCAUUGCCAUUUCUUUUGUCUAGGAAAAGCUUUGAGAGAUAUCUGCACCAAGUUUUUUUAUAAACUUUCAGUACAUGUAUGCCCUGCUGACUGCAAAUUUUGAGGUCGAUUGUACUUGUAGUUUCAGAGUACAUGUGGAUUUUUUUUCAGAAGUGACGCAAGAACAAUAUUGAAUUUCGAUUUUUCAUGAACUGAUAUGAUUGAUUGAUAGUUGAUUUAUUUAUUGAUUGAUGAUUGAUUAGUUGGUGGUUGGUUGGUUGAUUAACAGUUGGAUAGGGUCAUUGAACAGCGAAAGGACAAAGAAGAUUCGGACGUAUAAACCAUGAGACGGAUACAUGUUGAUUGAUCAUGUCAUGAUUGAUAUGAUCAUGAUGAUGAUUGAUUAGUUGUUGGUUGGUUGGUUAACACGUUGAUAGGGUCAGUUGAAAAGCGAAAAGAACAAGAGUCUUGGACGUAUAUAACAUGAGACGGAUACAUGUUGUUGUUGAUCGAUCAUGAUUGAUUGAUUGAUUGAUGAUUAGUUGGUUGGUUGUUUGGUCAAACAGUUGGAUAGGGUAGUUGAAACAGGAAAAGAAACAAGAAGAUCUUGAACCUAUGAUAACACCGAGACGGUUCGUGAUUGAUUGAUUGCAUGAUAAAUUUUGUUGACUGAUCAUGAUUGAUUGUUGAUUGAUUGUUGGUUGGUUGGUUUUGGCAGCAACACACAUAAAACUUUCAAGUAGUGCCCAUAAUAUGUAAUGACUUGACCUUUACCUGUGACUUUGUCAAGGCAUUUCUUAAAUGUCAUUGCAGAAGACCCUAUGGGUCAGUAUUUUUUUAGGUUUUGUCUAAUAAUGGCUUUUAUAAACAUCAAUGGGGAUAUGUCUUACCAUGUAAAACAUAUAGUCAUAAUGUAACAAAGUUGCCCCUUGAGUUUACAUUUUUCACUGCUUAAAUUUCUGUAUUAUAACCAUUUAGGAAUUAUAGGGAAUCAAAGACAUAUGAAAAUCUCAAUUGUUGACCUUUGACUUGACUAAUUUUCAUUUUUUUGGCCAAGGACCUCAAAUCAAGAUCUAUGUCUCUGCUUAUGGUUUAAGUAGAAAUGCUAUCACUUAAACAAAUGCAUAGGGGAAAUAACUCUCAUAUGGAGCGUUCAUAUCGCUCGGUCAAAAUAGGAAUUCAUGCGAAGGAUAUAACGAAUUUGUCAUAUUUUGUGCGAAGGAGUUCUAAGGAAAACAGUGUUUGGGGAGAUAACUCCUACAAAGAAAAGUUUCGUUUAGCGGGUAAUUCAAAGCGCAUAAACUGUCGAUUCAUAUAAAAUAUUAGCGACAAUGCGAACAAUGUUUAUCGCAGAACAAAAUUAGCGGAAGAAAAAAAAAAAAUUAAUAGAAAAUAAAUAGGCUUCCAGAAAGUGGAGACCUAUAUAAUGAUAAUAAAUACAAUAUUUAUAGAGCGCAUUAUAUAAUAACAAAAAUUACUCUUAAGAGCUUUACAUUUAAAAAAAAUAUAUAAAAUACAAAAAUACAUAAAACAUAGAUUACAAAGCACUAUCUUAAAAGAAUCAAACAAGCAUAUACAAAUUUAUAAGAUACUUAAAAAAGAAAAAAAGAAAUAAAAGAAAUGAAAAAUGCAUGGACCCUAAAAUAAACAAAACUGUCUAAAACUAAUGCAGUCGAUUAAAAAUAUAUAAAAUCUACAAGAAAUCCUUAAAACACAGUCCGAAAUAAAUGAGUCUUGAGUUGCUUUUAAAAAAACAUGUAAAGAAUCUACACUCCGUAAGACGAUGGCAAAUUGUUCCAGAGUGUAGGUACAGUGUUGUCAAAACGCCUCUCACCGUAGCUUUUCGUUCGAACGUCAUUUGGAGGAUGUAUGAGCAUACUAUUUUCCGACCUGAGGGAUCUGAAGGUAACUAGGAGCCUUACCAUGCUGUGCUUUGUGCACAUAUAAAAGAAGCUUACAUUGGCAACGGUAAUGUAUGGGUAGCCAGUGUAACGAUAUUAAAACAGGCGUAAUUGAGUCAAAUUUCCUUAUUCGUGUUAUCAAACGUGCUGCUGUGUUUUGGACCCGCUGCAAUUUACUGAUAAUGUUGAUGUUAGUACCGUACAAUAAUGAAACCAACUCGAAUGUCGAAUGUUAGCAUAUAUUAAAUGUGUGAUAAUAGUCUUGUUUAACUAAUUAAAAGUUUAUUUAUUGACGAUUGUCUGUCAUUUUUUUUUAGUUUUGGAAGAUUGGUUUGUUGCUUUAAUUACGAAGAUGUUAAUGGUGUUUGUAUCGGUAGGUGAAUAUAUUUACGAGGUCAUAACUAGUAAAUAAUGUAUAUAGAUACAUUAAAUUAAAAUGCAAUAAUGACUUUGUUCCAUAUUGUUAUUAAAGCAUUAUUUCAUGUUUUCCUUGAUUGGACUGCCAAAAUCGGUUAAAAUAUAUUUCACCCAAAAAGGACAUUAAUCCGAAUUUGUGAAUUUGUAACAAGUACGCAUGUGUUACAUACUUCAAUUAUACAGCAAUGUAACAUCACAUAAAAAACCAAACAAACACUAUUAGAAGUAAUAACUUAAGAAGAAGGAAUCAGAAUUGAUAACGUGACAUAAUUCUAUCAAACAAUUUUCGUGUUUUAGUUUUUUAUAUAUAAGAACAAACAGAUAUGGUCUUAAAAGUAUACUAUAUCUGUAAUAAUUCUACCUAUUGGUCACAUUACGACAUUAUGAGCAAAGUCAAAAUCAUAUUGUCCGCUGCAAAAAGAUGCCGACAUCACAGUAUGUAGAACAAUUCAGAUAAAAAAAGCCGACGGCAAGAUUUAUUACUCAACAAAGUCAAAAAUUACAGACCUGCAAUCAAAAAAAGGCAACAGUAGUAUACCGAAAUUCACAAAUCAAUUGAAAAAAAAUCCGGGUUACGAACUAAAACUGAACACAUUAACGAACUAUAAUAUAACAAUGGCCAUUUUCCUGACUUGGUACAGGAUAUUUUAAGAAAAAAAUAGUGGGUUGAACCAGGUUUUGUGACAUGCCAAACCUCCCGGUUUUAUGGCGAUGUUAAAUAUAAUAUUAAAUUGACAUUACAUGACAGGACUACAAUACAAAUAAAUGGGAGAACAUAUACGACAGAGAAAGACACGAAUAGUAGCUAAAUAAAGGGACAAGGUUUAAAAUUUUAUACGCAAGACGCGCAAAACUACACAGUGACGCUCAGAUGAAAAAAUGUUGAAAGCCAAAACAAGUUCAAAGUUAAGAACCAAAAGUUCCAAAAUACAAUUAAUAAUAGACUCCUCACUUUGCAUAAUCAUCAAUACAGCAAUCUACACAAAGUAUCGCUGAACUUGACUGCAAAUCAGUGUUAUAAAUCACUGCAUCACAUGGCUUGAUCUCUUAUUUUAUCAAAACGAUAAUAAAUUGAAAAAACCAAGGUGUUAAUUAUUUGAAUAAAAGCGUCAAAGGGUGGGCAAGUUUUAUUAACGACGAAUUAUGCAUAACUGACCAUUACUUUUAAUUAAGUUCAAUUCAAAUAAUUAUCAUUUGCAAUAGAUUGUUAUCUUAAAGACCUUCAACUUUAGUUAUUUCAUGUCUGUAUUUAAUUAGAUACGGUAUAUCUAAACGUCAACGUUUCAACGGGUUUUUAUGAUUAAUUUUGAAAAACCUGUGUAAUUAAUGCAUUAUGCAGGUUAUCCAAAAGUUGAUGAAAAAAUUCGAGAAAAAAUUAACAUAAGAAUGAAUAUUUACGACUACACAGAAUUCUAAAAAGUCUUCCGGCUUAACAAAAGGCUUCAUAAGCAUAUGCAAAAUGUAUGUUCCGACAGUACAGACUAGAAUUGGUUCUUUUUGUAUUGGAGAUUAAAAAAUAUGUCAACAUGUAUACUUAUUUUUCUUGAAGACCUUUCCUCACCUAGACUUAAGAUACAACAAUAUUUGUAAGUUAAAGAAUAUACAUAACUUUACUCACUGCCCAAUACAAAUUUUAACAAUCAGAUUUGUGUUCUUUGAUAGACAAUUCUACGGUCGUUGGUACUAUGCAUUUUACUAAUAUUUUAAAGUAUAAUCAAUAAUGCAUCAACACGCAUCAAACCAAUUUUCUUAUGUUGAGAACAUAAAGGCUGACAUAAUGUAUUUAAUAAACAUGAUUAACUGAUUGAGUUUCAACAGCGUGUAUGCACGGAUUUAUGAAUUUUGAUGGUGGCCAAUGCAGACCUUGUUCCAGAGGAUUCUACGGAAUAAAAUGUUUCAGCAGGUGUCACUGUUACAUGAAUGAGAA
rnacentral:lncRNA from 1 species